rnacentral:rRNA from 1 species
CCUACGGGAGGCAGCAGGGAGGAAUAUUGCGCAAUGGGGGCAACCCUGACGCAGCAACGCCGCGUGUGGGAUGAAGGCCUUCGGGUUGUAAACCACUUUUGGCGGGGGCGAAAUAUCGAGUGCUAAUACCAUUCGGUGAUGACGGUACCCGCAGAAUAAGCACCGGCUAACUACGUGCCAGCAGCCGCGGUAAUACGUAGGGUGCAAGCGUUAAUCGGAAUUACUGGGCGUAAAGCGUGCGCAGGCGGUUGAGUAAGACAGAUGUGAAAUUCCCGGGCUCAACCUGGGAACUGCAUUUGUGACUGCUUGACUAGAGUGCGGCAGAGGGGAGUGGAAUUCCGCGUGUAGCAGUGAAAUGCGUAGAUAUGCGGAGGAACACCGAUGGCGAAGGCAACUCCCUGGGCCUGCACUGACGCUCAUGCACGAAAGCGUGGGGAGCAAACAGGAUUAGAUACCCUGGUAGUCCACGCCCUAAACGAUGUCGACUAGUGUUGGACGGAUACUGUUCAGUAACGUAGC